CCUACGGGUGACAGCAGUGAGGAAUCUUGGUCAAUGGACGAGAGUCUGAACCAGCCAAGUAGCGUGAAGGAUGACUGCCCUAUGGGUUGUAAACUUCUUUUAUAUGGGAAUAAAAUGUUACACGUAUGGGAUCUUGUUUCUACCAUAUUAAUAAGGAUAGGCUAACUCCGUUACAGGAGGCGCGGUAAUACGGAGGAUACGAGCGUUAGCCGGAUUGAUUGGGUUUAAAGGGAGCGUAGGUGGUUUGGUAAGUCAGGUGUGAAAGUUUUCGGCUCAACCGUAAGAUUGCAGUUGAAACUGGCAGUCUUGAGUACAGUAGAGGAGAGCGGAAUUCGUGGUGUAGCGGUGAAAUGCUUAGAUAUCACGAAGAACUCCGAUUGCGAAGGCAGCUCACUGGACUGCAACUGACACUGAGGCUCGAAAGUGUGGGUAUCAAACAGGAUUAGAUACCCCUGUAGUC
rnacentral:rRNA from 1 species